rnacentral:lncRNA from 10 species
CUAACUUGAAUGCAUUAUGUUUUUCCUACUGGAAUCAUGACUAAUACACAAAUCACAUACUUUACACGCUUAAUGUGAACUCAACCAAAUCUAUGCUAUAACUGUAUUGAAGGGGGUAUAGAAAGAGUGUGUCUGACUAUAGCAAAUGUAGGGGUAUAGAGAGAAGAGAGAGCUAAAUCCUCAUUUUUCGUAGUGGAAUGUAUUAUACCUAAAGUGUAUUAAUAAUGAAAUGACAACACAAGAGUCUUAUUUUUAAAUAUGAAGGUAAAUACCAAGAGAAUCAUCUAAAAGAGUUGGAAAGUAGUUACCACUGAGGCGGGAGAAAUGGAAUAAAGGGAGCGAAGGACAAAUGUUUUUCGUCAUCAAACCUGAAUAACUACUUGAAUCUUUAUGUGUAUGUAUAACUCUAAUAAAAAUGAAAAUUAAAAAUAGAGCUUUGAAUUCUUCAAAAAGAUAGAGUUACCAUAUGAUUCAGCAAUCCCACUUGUGGGUAUAUAUCCAAAAUAAUUGAGAGCAGGAUCUUGAAGAGAUAUUUGCACACCUAUGGUCAUUGCAGCAUUAUUCACAAUAGCCAAGAGAUAGACACAACCCAAAUGAUCAUUGACAUAUGAGUAAAUAAACAAAAUGUGCUUUAGGGUUUUUUUUUGUUUUGUUUUGUUUGUUUUUUUUUUUUUUGAGACGGAGUUUCACUCUUGUUACCCAGGCUGGAGUGCAAUAGUGCAAUCUCAGCUCACUGCAACCUCCGCCUCCCAGAUUCAGGUGAUCCUCCAGCCUCAGCCUCCCGAGUAGCUGGGAUUACAGGCAUGUGCCACCACACCUGGCAAGUUUUUGUAUUUUUAGUAGAGACAAGGUUUCGCCAUGUUGGCUAGGCUGGUCUUGAACUCUCGGCCUCAAGUGAUCCGCCUGCCUCAGCCUCCCAAAGUGCUGGGAUUACAGGCGUGAGCCACCACAUCCAGCCCAAAAUGUGUUUUUUAUAUAUAAUGAAAUAUUCACAGUUAAAAAUGAAAGAAAUCCUAUCACAUGCUACAACACGAAUGAAUCUUGAGGACAUUAUAUUAAGCAAAAUAAGGCAGUCACAGAGACAAACACUGUAUGAUUCCAUUUACAUGAGGUAUUUAAAGUAGUCAAAUUUGUAGAAACAGAAAAUAGAAUGAUGGUUGCAGGGACUUGGGGGAGGGGAGUAUGGGGACUUGUUUAAUGAGUAUAGUUUCAGUUUUGCAAGAUGAAAAUGUUUUGGAGAGCUAUUACACAACAAUAUAAGUAUACUUAACACUACUGAAAUGUACACUUAAAAAUUCUUAUAAUGGUAAAUUGUGGUUUUUUAUACAAUUAAAAAUUUAAAAAUUAUUUACAUUAUUAUUCUCAUUUUAAUUCAUAUGAGAAAAUUUAAACAGAAGGAUACAUUAAUUUACACAAUGUAGUAUAGCAGUGAGCAGGUAUUAAAACAAGGUACUCUAGUGUUCUCUAAUCACUAUUCAAUUCUGCCUUUCAGAAAUACAUGUAGUUAUGCAAGAUGUGUUACCAUUGGGUAAGCUGUGUGAGGGUUGUACAGGAUCUCCGUAAUACUUCUUACCACUGCAUAUGAAUCUCUAAGUAUCACAAAAUAAAAAGUUUAAAUAUACAGAACAUAUAAAAUAAAGAAUAAAAUCAUUUUAAUGAGGAUAACUUCUCCAAAAUGCCUUUUACUUUAAGACACUAGAAAUUUCUCAAAAACAAAGCAUCUCUAUGCUCUUGUUUGGCUAUGGACUGCAAUGUGAAAGAUACUCAGAUAAUUUAAAAUAGAAACUGAAAAUGCCUUUAAAAAUCACAUGAUUCAAAGUGGGGAUCAAAGAUACCUAAAAUAACAUGUCUUUUCUGACUAGUAAAUUCCUGCCAAAGCUCAACUUUGUUCUGAACUUAUGAACCCACCUUCUACCAUGACCUCAGAAUGAAAUUAUCGAAAUAAUUUGCAAAUUAAAUGUGUUUCAUUGAGAAAGCAGUAACAAGAGAUUAUUUUUAAAUAAAUAGUGUUGGAGCAACUGGAAAGUCAUUUGGAAAAAGAUAAAAUUAAAUCCAUAUUUUACAACAUGAACCAGGAUAAAAUCUACAUGGAUUGAUUAUUUAAAUAAAAAAAUAUGAAACCCUAAAUAUACUAGAAGAAACACUGCUGAAUUUAUUUGGAGCCUUAAAAUAUGGAAGUCCUUUAUAAGAUUCAAAAUCUAGAAGUCAUAAAAUGAAAUUAAUAAAUCUGACUGCAUUUUUUAAAAACACAAACAUUAGCAUGAAAAAAAAUCACAAGUGAAGUCAAAGACAAAGGUUAACUUGGAAAAAGUAGUCUCAAUUUUUAUCUCAACAAAAGGCUCAUCUCCCUAGCAUAUACAUUGCUGCUAGAAAUUAAGGAGAAAAAUACCAAGAACCCAAAGAAAAAGGAGUAAAACACAUGAACAACUAACUCACAGGAAGAUAAAUAGCCCUCAUAUGUGAAGACUCUCAAUCUCACUAAUACUUAAAGAAAUGCAAAUUAAAAUUACACUUGAAACCUAUUAGAUUGGCAAAAAUCCAGAGAAACCAGCUUUCUUACAUGUUACAAGUGGGAAUCCAAAAUGGUACAUAGUUAAGCAGGGAAUCUGGCAAUAUCCAGCAAAAUUACAUACGUCUUUACCCUUUGACACAGAGAUCCCACUUCUAUCAUUUCUAUAAAUCUGUCCUACAGAUACAUCUGUCCACGUAUCAUGACCCCGGCAUUAUUUGUAAUAAAAAAACGUUGGAAAUAGAUCAAAUACUCAUCAAUAGGGACAGGUUAAUACACAAAAGAAUACAUAUUGUAUGAUUCCAUUUAUAUGAAGUACAAAACAGGUCAAACAAUGUAUGGUAAUACAGGUUAGAAAAAUGGUUACCUUUAGGUGCCUGGGAAUGGUCAUGAGUGAUCUUUAUGGGGAACUGGAAAGGGAUUAUAUCUUGAUCUGGGUGGUAGUUACACAGAUGUGUAUAUGCAAAUAUUGAUUGAGAUGUGCAGUUCAGACUGGUGCAGUUUAAUGUAUAGAAGUUAUUACUUCAAUUUAAUGAGUUUUAAAACAGUGCUGAUCAGGGAAAUACAAAUAAAAACCACAAUGAGAUACCACUGCACACCCAUUAGGAUAGCUAUAACAAUAAUAAUAAUAAUAAUAAUAAUAAUAAUAAUAAUAAUAAUAAAGAGGUGUGGAGAAAUUGAAACUCUCAGUCGAUACUGCUGAGAAGAUAAAAUAGUGCAGCCACUUUGGAAAACAGUCUGGUUGUUUUUCAAAAGGUUAAACAUAGAGUUAACAUAUGAUCCAGAAAUUCCACUCCUAGGUAUAUAAUCAACAGAAAUGGGAACAUAUAUCCACUAAAAACUUGAAUGUUUACAGAAGCAUUACUAAUAACAGCCAAAAAAUGGAAAUAACCCAAAUGCCCGUCAACUGACGAAUGAAUAAGUAAAGUGUGGUAUAUUCAUACAAUGGAAUGUUAUUUGGCGAUAAAAUGAAUGAAAUAAUGAAACAUGCUAGGCAUGAAGAAACCCUGAAAUGUUAUGCUAAAUAGAAGAAGCCAGUCACAAAUAACCAUGUACUGUAUGAUUUCAUUUAUACAAAAUGCCCAGAAUAGGAAAAUCUGUACAGGCAGAAAGUAAAUUGAUAGUUGCCUAGAGCUGGGGAGGUUAGGAAAAAAUGUGGAUGGGUACAGGGUUCCUUUAGGGGGCCACGACAAUGUUCUAAAAUUGGUUGUGGCAAUGGCUGCACAACUCUUGUGAAUAUACUAAAAAUAAUCAAAUUGUAUACUUUAAAUAGGUGGAAUGUAUGGUAUACAAAUUAUAUCACAAUAAAGUUAUUUUAAAAAAAGGGAAUGGUUAUACAUUAUUAUACAGCCAUGCAGUAAGUUACUAUAAAGCUGUAAAAAGAAUUAGGAAGCUCAGGCUGGGCGCAGUGGCUCAUGCCUAUAAUCCCAGCACUUUGGAAGGCCGAGGCGAGUGGAUCACCUGAGGUCAGAAGUUCGAGACCAGCCUGACCAAAAUGGAGAAACCCCGUCUCUACUAAAAACACAAAAAUUAGCUGGGCUUGAUGGCACAUGCCUGUAAUCCCAGCUACUUAGGAGGCUGAGGCAGGAAAAUCGCUUGAACCCGGAAGGUGGAGGUUGCAGUGAGCCGAGAUUGGGCCUUUGCACUCCAACCUGGGCAACAAAAGUGAAACUCCAUCCCCCCCCACCAAAAAAAAAAAAAAGAAUGAGGAAGCUCUUUAUGUACUAUUAUAGAUGCAUUCUCAGAAUAUAUUGUUAAAGAGCAAGUGCAGAAUGGUAUAUAUAAUAUGCUGUUUUUUACUUUUAAGAAAUAAAAAUAUAUACUUGCAUUUAUUGUUACUGGCAUGAGAAAGCACUAAAUGCAUAAAAAUAAACUAACAAAAAUGGGGAUGAGAGUGGCGAAUGGGAUGCUAGAGGAACAGGUAUGAGUGUGAGACUGAUUAUACAUUUACACAGUUUUGGCUUUUGAACCCUGUAAACAUAGCCCUCGUUUAUUCAAUUUAAUUUAAUUCAAAGUAUAAGUUAAAAGUUAAUUAAUGCACAAUAGAAAAUAAAGUAGGGACAAUUAUUUCUGCUCCAGGUGUUACCCAUUGAAUAGCUGUCCAUCUCAUUCAGAUGAGAACUAGUGUAGUUGAAACGUAGGGCCAAGAAACCAAGCUAAUUUUUCAAAAGUUGAUAUAAGUUGUAAAUAUCUUUCUUCCUCAUCAGGAAAAUAAUUAUAAAAUUAUAUCCUAAUGGGAGGCGAAGCUACACACACACACACACACACACACACACACACACACACAAAACCAGGCUUCUCUUUCUUGGGGAAAAAUGAAAUCAAAACAAAGCAUGGUUUGAAUGUUAUCCUGCAUCUUUCAUUAUGCUGAGAUGGCCUUCUUUUUAGAGCCACAUCUUAAAUAGUCACAGUUAACAUCUAAGAACUAUUGAUCAGAAAAAAAUACAAAAUAUAAAUUGUUGAUAAGCUUCAAUGUUGCAUCAGGCAGGUGGAGCAAGGCUGAAAGGUGUUUGGUAUUUGAAAAGGCAUCUCCAAAAAAGAAUUACAAAUGUGUAAGUCACAGUAAACCUGAACUAGGAAACCCUCUUUGAGUUUCCCAUGGAUAAGACAGAUAAGGAACAGGAGACUAUCUGACUGGAUUUAGUUAAAAUAAAUACACACACACCACACGGCAUACAUGUGCACACUCUGAACAGGGCUUUCGUAUGGGUGUGGUUUCUAGCAGAUCCAGUAGGCCAAGGUAGCUAGCUAGGUGUUGGUGCUGUGCUUACCGGCACAAGUGUGGAGUAAGCCUGCUGUGCCACGAGCAUCAGGUCCCUAAGGAGGGUAAUGAAGCUGC